rnacentral:hammerhead_ribozyme from 1 species
AUCUAGCUGACGAGUCCAAAACAGGACGAAACGCGUGUACUGGAU